CCCACCUCAGGAUGGUACCUGGAGAGUUUCCAGUACUCUACCAGUCUUGGAUAUGGGACGGAAAGUCGAGCAGAGGCAUACCCAUUCCAUUCCCUGCUUGGGCAGUGGCUAGUGAGUGGAAAGCAAUCUGCUACAAGU